rnacentral:lncRNA from 1 species
AAACCCACAGAGCACUCCUAGGCACAUUCCCACCCUGCUAAGUUGUUUAUCUACAAAUAACAGGAGAGAUCUGCUGUGCCAGGUGUCCCUGACUCAGUCAGGCUAGGUGGGGAUCCAUAGCAACCCUCUAGCAGCCACCAAUCAGCAUGAGACAGGGAAAUACCUGGGAUGCCAGAUGACCCUUCCAGUAGUUUAUGGUGGCUGAUAACAUGUUGGGAAACCACGUAGUUCAGCACAUACACCCCUCUUGGCUUAAACCAAUCAGUUCAAAUGAAUACCCCUUUUGUACUGACCAAUCACCCCUACCCAACUUGUUCCCGCCAGUGAAUGUGCUA